UCAAGAAACUUCCACAAUGGGCGAAAGCCUGAUGGAGCGACGUCGCGUGAUGGACGAAGUGCUUCGGCACGUAAACAUCUUUUAUGUGGGAUGAAAUUAUUGACAGUACCACAUGAAUAAGGGGCUCCUAACUCUGUGCCAGCAGGAGCGGUAAUACAGAGGCCCCAAGCGUUAUCCGGAAUCACUGGGCGUAAAGGGUGUCGAGGCGGUUGUAUUAGUCGUUCGUAAAAUCUACGAGCUUAACUUGUAGGCGGCGAACGAAACGGUACGACUUGAGGUUUGGAGAGGUGCGUGGAACUCACGGUGUAGGGGUGAAAUCCGUUGAUAUCGUGGGGAACACCAAGGGCGAAGGCAGCGCACUGGCCAAAAUCUGACGCUCACACACGAAAGCUAGGGUAGCGAAGAGGAUUAGAUACCCAAGUAGUCCCUGAGCGGGCUGGCAAGGCGCAU
rnacentral:rRNA from 1 species